rnacentral:rRNA from 1 species
CCUACGGGGGCAGCAGUGGGGAAUAUUGGACAAUGGGCGAAAGCCUGAUCCAGCCAUGCCGCAUGUGUGAAGAAGGCCUUCGGGUUGUAAAGCACUUUCAGUGGGGAAGAAAGCCUUGGGGCUAAUACCCUCGAGGAAGGACAUCACCCACAGAAGAAGCACCGGCUAACUCCGUGCCAGCAGCCGCGGUAAUACGGAGGGUGCGAGCGUUAAUCGGAAUUACUGGGCGUAAAGCGCGCGUAGGCGGUCUGAUAAGCCGGUUGUGAAAGCCCCGGGCUCAACCUGGGAACGGCAUCCGGAACUGUCAGGCUAGAGUGCAGGAGAGGAAGGUAGAAUUCCCGGUGUAGCGGUGAAAUGCGUAGAGAUCGGGAGGAAUACCAGUGGCGAAGGCGGCCUUCUGGACUGACACUGACGCUGAGGUGCGAAAGCGUGGGUAGCAAACAGGAUUAGAUACCCCUGUAGUC